AACGCACAUUGCGCCCUAUGGUAUUCCAUAGGGCAUGCCUGUCUGAGCGUCAGCUCCCCCCCACUCAAGCUCUUUUGCUUGGAUUAUUUUGGACGAGCAGUCUCUUUUGAUUGCUGCCCAUAAAUUCAUAGGCAGUAUGGUACUCACUCCAAGCUGAGCGUAAUAAUUAAAAAAAUCACGCCCAUAUUGAAGUGACAUCGUACUCGCCCUUAACCCACAAAUUUUUUUUUUGGGUGACCUCAGAUCAGGUAGGGAUACCCGCUGAACUUAA
rnacentral:misc_RNA from 1 species